rnacentral:lncRNA from 1 species
GGCUAACCCGGUAUCUCCACCAGCCACACCUACAACACCUCCAGCACCUGUCACACCGUCAACACCUCCGGCACCUGUCACACCGUCAACACCUCCGGCACCUGUCACACGGCCGAUAUGUCCUCCGCCUUUCAGGCUUCCACCAAUGCCUCGAUUCCCACCUUUGCCACCAUUGCCUCGAUUCCCACCUUUGCCGCCAUUGCCUCGAUUCCCACCUUUGCCACCAUUGCCCCAUUUGCCUCCAAUGCCACCAAUGCCGUUUGUGGAGGCAACGGCAUGUCCACAUCAGUAAGUACCAACUUUUUAUUUCCUAUAAUCAUUAGCCUGAUUCAUCAAAUUCCAACUAAAUAUGGAAUCCAUUUUGGCCAAGUAAGCUUUAUGCUUACAGAACUGGGAUUUUGCUUCGCAAGUGUGAAUGCACCUGCAAGCUGACAAGUGGGGCUAGCAUGCUUUAUUUUAGAAAGCAUAUUCAUGUAAAACAUAAUUGAGCUCUGAAAUUGUUCUAGCUAAAGUGACUAUACAUGUGAUUCACGUACUAGAUAAAAGUAUGGGCAUGAGUUUACAUGUUAGAACCAAAAAGGCCAUACAACUGGAAUAGACUGAAUUUGUAGACAUCAAUAAAUCAAAUGGAGGUUCACAAGAAGAUCUUGUGUUGUCUCAUAAAUAUCUUGUAGAAUACUUUAGAGCUUCAAGUUGGGUAGCUGGCUUAUUAGAAUCAUAUGGCUAAAUCUUAAUUAUGUUACAGUAAGGAACCUCAGAAUAAUAACAUUUUGCCAACCACGCAUGUGCUACUGAACAUGACAUUUUGUGCUCU